rnacentral:rRNA from 1 species
GACGAACGCUGGCGGCGUGCUUAACACAUGCAAGUCGAACGGAAAGGCCCUGCUUUGGUGGGGUGCUCGAGGGGCGAACGGGUGAGUAACAGGUGAGUAACCUGCCCUUGACUUUGGGAUAACUUCAGGAAACUGGGGCUAAUACCGGAAAGGAGCUCCUGCUGCAUGGUGGGGGUGGGAAAGUUUCGGCGGUUGGGGAUGGACUCGCGGCUUAUCAGCUUGUUGGUGGGGUAGUGGCUUACCAAGGCUUUGACGGGUAGCCGGCCUGAGAGGGUGACCGGCCACAUUGGGACUGAGAUACGGCCCAGACUCCUACGGGAGGCAGCAGUGGGGAAUAUUGCACAAUGGGCGGAAGCCUGAUGCAGCAACGCCGCGUGCGGGAUGACGGCCUUCGGGUUGUAAACCGCUUUCGCCUGUGACGAAGCGUGAGUGACGGUAAUGGGUAAAGAAGCACCGGCUAACUACGUG